rnacentral:piRNA from 1 species
UGGUGGAGUGCUGUACAAGCAAUGGGC